CACGUAGGCGGCUUGGUAAGUCAGAUGUGAAAGCCCGGGGCUUAACCCCGGAAGUGCAUUUGAUACUGCCAAGCUUGAGUAUGGGAGAGGGAAGUGGAAUUUCUGGUGUAGAGGUGAAAUUCGUAGAUAUCAGGAGGAACACCGGUGGCGAAGGCGACUUCCUGGACCAAUACUGACGCUGAGGUGCGAAGGCGUGGGUAGCAAACAGGAUUAGAUACCCUGGUAGUCC
rnacentral:rRNA from 1 species